GGGGAUUUAGCUGAGUCGGGCAGUGCCUGCCUGGAAAGCAUGAGGGCCUGCGUUCAAUUCCCAGUACCCCCC
rnacentral:tRNA from 1 species